AGUGAACGCUGGCGGUAGGCCUAACACAUGCAAGUCGAACGGCAGCACAGUAAGAGCUUGCUCUUACGGGUGGCGAGUGGCGGACGGGUGAGGAAUACAUCGGAAUCUACUUUUUCGUGGGUGAUAACGUAGGGAAACUUACGCUAAUACCGCAUACUACCUACGGGUGAAAGCAGAGGAUCUUCAGACCUUGCGCGAUUGAAUGAGCCGAUGUCGGAUUAGCUAGUUGGCGUGGUAAAGGCCCACCAAGGCGACGAUCCGUAGCUGGUCUGAGAGGAUGAUCAGCCACACUGGAACUGAGACACGGUCCAGACUCCUACGGGAGGCAGCAGUGGGGAAUAUUGGACAAUGGGCGCAAGCCUGAUCCAGCCAUACCGCGUGGGUGAAGAAGGCCUUCGGGUUGUAAAGCCCUUUUGUUGGGAAAGAAAAGCAGCAGGUUAAUCCCCCGCUGUUCUGACGGUACCCAAAGAAUAAGCACCGGCUAACUUCGUG
rnacentral:rRNA from 1 species